rnacentral:rRNA from 1 species
UGCCAGUAGUCAUAUGCUUGUCUCAAAGAUUAAGCCAUGCAUGUCUAAGUCCAAGCUGUGUUCACACGGCGAGACCGCGGACGGCUCAUUAAAUCAGUCGUGGUCCAAAUGGGCCAGUGCAAAUCCUACUUGGAUAACUGUGGUAAUUCCAGAGCUAAUACAUGCAACUGAUAUCCCGAAGGCGGUGUUGGGGCUUGCUUGCCUUGCGCUGCGCUGCUCUGACGGAUGCUUUUAUUAGACCAAGCCGCUGAGGACUUGAGGGUUCGCGCUCUCUUGUUUGACUCGUGUGAUGGUGACUCUGGAUAACCAAAUUCUGACAAGCGCACGUACUUCUCUUCUGAGCGAGACGGCGCUGCCACUUUCGAGUGUCUGCCUUAUCAGCUAUCAACCGUUCGUUAUGCGCGACCGAUGGCUUUGACGGGUAACGGGGAAUCAGGGUUCGAUUCCGGAGAGGCAGCCUGAGAGACGGCUACCACGUCCAAGGACGGCAGCAGGCACGCAAAUUACCCAAUCCCAGCAAAUGGGGGAGGUAGUGACGAAAUCUAACGAUGCGGGCGCCCUUUCUGGGGCCCCGCAAUCGGAAUGGGCACUUUCUAAACAACCUGUUGAGAACCUACUGAAGGGCAAGUCUGGU